GGCAGGUUAGCUCAGUUGGUUAGAGAGUGGUGCUGAUAACACCAAGGUCACAGGUUCAAUUCCCGUUCGGUCC
rnacentral:tRNA from 1 species